CUCAUUUUUAAAGCAUGUUCUUUCUUCUUUUUACUAAUCAAUUGUUUAGACUGGAUCCUUAAAAGUUUAUACUUUUCGAGAUCGCUGAGUGAUUGAGAUUUUAAGGCCUUCCGUCUCUGGAUGUUUUUCUCUCUCAAUAAUUGUCGCAGCUCUGUAUCCAUCCAUGAGGGAUCAUUAGCAUUAUUUAUGGUGAGUUUGGGUACAUUGUCAUUGACAAUUGACAUAAACAUAUCAUACCAAUUUGAAAGCGAUUGUUCUACAUCACUGAUCACAAAGCACAAAUCCCAAGGCGCACGUGUCAACAUUUCUUUAAGUCCCGUCCAAUUUGCAUUUCUUAGAUUGUAUAUAAUUCGCUUCACUUUUGGUAGUUUUUUAAUUUGAAGGUCAAUCUGAAAGCUUAUAUGUUUAUGAUCCGUUUCGAGAAUAUCUUCAAAACCCUGAACGUUAACUAUUUUGUCUGGGACGUUAGUUAGAAGCAAGUCCAAAAUAUUAUCUUCUCUGGUCGGGAAAUCAACUAACUGAUACAAAAAGUUAUCCUUAACUGUUUUAGCAAAAGCGUUCCCAAUAGCUUCACCAGUAAUUGCCAUGCCCGUUGACCAGUCAAUAUUGGGGAGAUUAAAAUCUCCAAGCACAAUAAUCCUCUCAAGGUUCGCCUUAGAUACAAGUUUUAGCGACUUUUUAAACUCCUUAAUGUAAUUAAGGUCAGUAUCCGGUGGUCUGUAGAAAACUAUAAUGAGUAACUUACCCUUUGACUCGGGGCGUACUUCACAAGCAAUAAUUUCUGAGCUUGUUUCAAGAUCUGUUCUUCGAACACUUCGAAUUGAGUUCCUGACCGCAAGUAGGACUCCGCCACCUACUCGAUUGGUUCUAUCCCUCCGAUGGAUUGUAAAUGAAUUACCAGGCAAUAAUUCUGUGUUUAAAAUAUCCGGCUUUAACCAUGUCUCAGUAACAGCGAUCAUGUCAGUAUCAACAGCAAGCGCUUGUAAUUCGGCAGUUUUAUUCGCAAGGCUUCUAGCAUUUAGAUAUAAGCCUUUGAUUCUGAAUUUGUUUACAUUGCCACUAUCCGGUCCUGGAUUAGGAUGUAUACCGAUCAAGCGGAUUUUCUCGAAGGAAAAACAUGCUGUACAAUUGUGAUAGUAUUUAACUCUUCGUUUAAAAUACCCAGAUCUCUGAACACACAUAUUUCCAUUAGUGAGGUGAUUCGACCGCGUAUAACAGCACACAUUGUUAACAGCCGUAUGUCCACACAAACAUUCGCAAUUCGGGCCAAAUCUGCCCCGGUUUAGACAAAUAAUCACAAUAAUUAUAAGUAGAAGCAAGAAAGCCGAUCCAGACGACGCCAUGAUGCUUGU